UUCAAAAAUACAAAGACAUAAUAUAUAAGAAAGAGGAGCCUGCUGACCUCAAAGCCUUCACUAUUUAGUGGCAGACUAUUACUGUUCCUUUUGAUUAAAUAAAUUUCUUUCGGAAUUUGUUGACAAUGCUUUUUCUCAGUAGAAGCCUUUGUCUCCUCAUCUUCUCUUAAGUUUUGUUUGAUUCCUCAAGUAAUAACGUCGAAGACAUGCCACGUCUUCUCAACUCUUUCAUACACAAUAAAUCUUUAGGUUAUUCACCUAUGAGCACCAACGGGUUGACAUUGGAUUACACUUACAAAUGUUCUGUAGCGAAAAGCCAGAGCUGCUGGAAAUUUUAAUGACUUGAAAUUCGAAUUUGUAUACAUAUUUAAAGGGAUUCAAGCUUAAGAUAUGUAGGGACUUUCCAACAUAAGCUGAAUUUCUCAACCACUUUUUGAUCAACGGAUGACAACCACCUGAUACACCGUCCAAUAUUAAUUCAUCGUUUGAAGUUUUCCUUCUUCCACUAAGCAACUGGUACAUAAAUAGUCGAAGAUACAAAUAUUUGUCUGACUUUUUUCUCGUGAUAUCUUUUUUUGAUAAGGUUUCGAGAUUGUUACUGGCAUCAUUCUCCUUCACUUUCUUAUCUUUAUCAUCAAAGUAUUGUUCUUACCAGGUACCCAAACACUUGAGCCUAAGCCGAUUUCUGAUUUGUGAUGUCCAACUAUGACUGUUUGUGAUUUGUAGAGAGAAUGUUUUUUGUGUUUGCUAUGUUGUGAUUUGUGAUUUUUGAAUGCUGUUAAAUUGGCGGGCAACUGAUUGAAUUGAUUCCUCUAUUUUCCCUAAUGUUAUAUGUUUAUUGUCGAUUGUUAUAAGCUAUUCAUAGCAGACUAUACAUAAAGAAAAUCUUGUUAAUUUAAGUGUAAAGUAAUUCUAUUUGAAUUGUCGCUUUAGGUGGAUGUGAACUAUUCAGUUCGAUAGCUUUCGAGAUCUCAUUGUGUUAAUGCUCCAUUGAUUCGACUAUGUUAAUUUUUUUUCCACAUAUAUUUGUUGUGUGACUUGGAUGUGUUUUAAAAAUGCUGUUAGUUUUUGUUUCGCCUUUUGCAAUUUAAAUAACGAAAGUGUUACUUAAUAGUUGAUAUGCUAGGAGAAUGUUUUUUAAGAUUUGCUACUUGUUAAGAAAAGAAAUGUUCAAUUUUAAAUCUAUUUGCUUAAAUAUUAAAUGGAUACAUGCUAAAUGCCUCUUCUUCUGCUAUUUUUGAUCCAUUCACUUACUCCUCCUUAGUGUUACAGCAUGGAAUCCUUUAUCUUUUAUAUUACUGAAGGCAGCAUGCUUUACUUUCAUUGAGCUGAGCCCUAGUUGUACAUCACGUUAGAAAUGAUGAACGAUUGACUUUCAUUUAGGAGUACAUGAAGUAGAAUUUCGUUAGACUACAUAUGCUGAUGUAAAUACUGUUAUUUAUUCUUGAAAAUAUGCAUAAUAGAAGUAGGAAAGUAAUUUAUCAUGGAUGUUGAGUUAGACAACACAAAUAUGUGACACCGCAUUUCUAGAAAAUGCAGGACACUGCAACGGCUGACAUGAAAAAUAUUUAGUAUUAUUAGAUAGUAUAAGAACAUCACCACCAAAAGUGAUAAUAAUGAUGAUGAUGAUAGUAAUAAUGAUAACAGAAUAUGACAAUUUUAAUCAAGCUUCUGAUUGCAAAGUAAAAAAGAGAAAAGUUACUAUCACAAAGGUCAUCUCUCGGGUUCUUAGAAGACACACCAAGGAAAACUAUGUCUGGUAACUAAGUUAAAUCAGUCAAUCAACUAUGUGUUAAUUCCAAAUUACUUUGGGUCGAGUAUACGAAUCUUUUACAUCAAUUUCAGUCUUUCACCGUAUUCGGGCUUAUUACACUCCAAUGUUGGUAAAUAGGUUGUCUUUUCAGGCAAAUUAGAAGUUCCCUAAAACUUGAGGUUUUCUAAAUCUCACUUAUCCCAAGCUUUUAGGAGAUGCAUCCUAAUUUUUCUUGGUAACAUAAAGAUUUAUUAAGUAUGAUACAAGUGGUAAACAAAAGUGGGCAACCUACACCAGAACAUGGUUCUUUACAGAAAUGCACCCAAUCAUCUAUACUAAAACAAAACUAUGCCCGAAAAGUUUAUAACAAAAACAAGAGAUUAGUCCUAAAAAUAUCAAGGAUGUACUGGAUCCGUCUUGCGUUUUUGUAAAUUUGGCAGCACUUCCUUUGUGCUGAAGUUUAUAACAUUUGUCCACCAGAAAAAUAUGAAGUUAUAUCUUAAAUCAAUAAAAGCUCUUAGUAGUCUUAUUCUUUUUGUUCUUACCAAUAAUUUGGAUUAUGAUCUCUAGCUAACAAUGCAUAUCCGUGAUGCUUAUUCGUGUUAAUUGCUCUUGAAUGAAUGGACUUCAUGAAAGAACACAGCAAACAACAAUAUAUUAAGAUGAAUUGCUUGCUUCUAUUUCACUUUUGGUGUAAAGAGGAGUUGGUAGAAGAAGUAGAAUUACUGUUAAACAUCAUAGAAUCCUUGUAAGAUGAACUUGGGAACAAAUCAGUGAUAUUGUUUUGCUGCUGAAGAACCUCUUUAUAAGAUGAUAAUAUCACUGAUUUGUUCCUUAUCAGAAUAUAUAAGAAAAUGAUUGUAAAGAAGAACAAUCAUUUUUUACAAUGAAAGGAAAAGAACAUCUUUUAGUCAUAUUAUGAUACCAUUUGAACCUUUGCACCAGCACUGCAUCUUUUAUAAAGUUAAAAAAUGGGUGACCACGCAUCUUCAUAAGCCAUAAAAGGAGGACAGUGAGAGAUCAAUAGAUUUACAAGCCUUUUUAUUCGCUCUCAAGUGGCAGAGGAAUAAAGGCUAUGGCGUGUCUUCUCUUGCUUUUGACGAUGAUGUAAAUAUUCAGACAUGAGGUGUUGCUCGCGGUGUUGACAUAAAGAAAAAGUUAUUCUCACGGUCAUACAGUCUAGUGUUUCGAUAAUUUAGCCCGUGGAAGAUUUUAAAAUGAUGAAAAGAUGCGAA